rnacentral:rRNA from 1 species
GAUGAACGCUGGCGGCGUGCCUAAUACAUGCAAGUCGAGCGAACAGACGAGGAGCUUGCUCCUCUGACGUUAGCGGCGGGCGGGUGAGUAACACGUGGAUAACCUACCUAUAAGACUGGGAUAACUUCGGGAAACCGGAGCUAAUACCGGAUAAUAUAUUGAACCGCAUGGUUCAAUAGUGAAAGACGGUUUUGCUGUCACUUAUAGAUGGAUCCGCGCCGCAUUAGCUAGUUGGUAAGGUAACGGCUUACCAAGGCAACGAUGCGUAGCCGACCUGAGAGGGUGAUCGGCCACACUGGAACUGAGGCACGGUCCAGACUCCUACGGGAGGCAGCAGUAGGGAAUCUUCCACAAUGGGCGAAAGCCUGACGGAGCAACGCCGCGUGAGUGAUGAAGGUCUUCGGAUCGUAAAACUCUGUUAUUAGGGAAGAACAAAUGUGUAAGUAACUAUGCACGUCUUGACGGUACCUAAUCAGAAAGCCACGGCUAACUACGUG